AUGCCUCAUUACAAAAGAGUUGUUCCAAACAUUGAAUGUAUUUGUUUGAUCAACAUCUUAAUUAUGCAGUGCUAGUCUGCUAGAUAAACAAACAAUCACGCAACACUAAGCGCUUUAUCUUAAACGUGUGAGUAAAUAACCUUGCAGAGAAUAAAAUUUAUGCCCAAGCACCACAAGUACAUAAAACAAAAAUUAUACUUAUAAUGGUGUAGGCUGAUGAAGUGAUGAAGACGAGAUGCCAAAGGAGACCGGCAGCCUUGUUUCUGACUGCAGGCCCGGAGAGACUUCAUGCGUGCAGGUUCACGUGAGCAUACAGAUGAAAUAUUUUGUUGAUUGAGACCCAAGCAGCGUCAACGCGACAGCUCGGAAAGCACCGGCGUUGCCAAGUCUGCGCUUUUUCCGCGGAAUUGGGCUAUUUUAACACUGUUGCUGUGGGUUGCUUUUCAUGUCCGCGGGUUGAAGUGACCCCAAUAACGUGAUAUUUAGUGCCUGGAAUGCAAAUUUUACCGGGGAACGCCUCUUGAAAUGCGAUUGGGCUAGUUUUGAGUAGCAAUUGGUGGUUUUGAGAAAAUCUGGCAACCCUGGAAAGCACUCGGAACUCCGCCAAUGUUUCACAUUCUCUGCCAAGACAACUCUGAAGCCUGUAUAUCAUCCAACACUACCAAACAACUGCAAACAUUCACCGCGACACCAGAGCAAUGCCGAUGAUGCAGUGUGCAUCUUGAGAGGAAUGUCAAACUCACAAUCGUUUGCAGGAGACGAACUUAACUAUAUGCAAGUACCAGGGAAAGUCACGCAAUGAGUCAAGCGACAGUUUGAACAAGAAACGUCACGGCAGUAUCUGCAAACACAAUGAAGGGUGAGUAGAGGGCUUUUAUAUUCCUCGUGUUGAGUGCCGAUUGGCUAGAUCUAAUUGUAAUACAUGACGUGGCAUUAAGUCUUCCUAGUAAAACUUGCGCUGACGCUUCCAAUUCUGAGACGCAUGAGGUUGAACAGAUUCCCAUCUCCUCUGGUGUGAAUGUAUAUUCCCUUGUCUGACUGGUUGAAGGCACAAUAUAACACCAGAGAGAAGAAAAUACCAAAGAUUGUUGGUGCCAUCCUUGUUUGACACCACUUCGAAUUGGGAUGGUGUCAGAAUAUGAGCCAUCAUAUUGGACAGUACCCUGCAUGUCUUCAUGGAAGGAUACAGUCAUCCUCAGGAGCUUGGUUGGGCUCCCAAUCCUCUGAAGAACUUCAAAAAGCCCAUGCCUACUAUCUGAAUCAAAAGCCUUUGUCAGAUCAAUGAAGGUAGUGUAGAGUGGUCUCCUCUGCUCAUGACACUUCUCCUGCAGUUGCCUUAAUGAGAAAAUCAUAUCAAUUAUUGAUCUUCCUGCUCUAAAUCCACACUGUGCUUCAGAGUACACACAUUCUGCAAGUGAUUGCAACCUGUUGAGAACUACCCGGGCAAAGGCCUUCCCAACAGCACUCAGAAGUGAUAUCCCUUAAUAGUUAUUGUAAUCCUUUCUAUUCCCUUUAUUUUUAUAAAGUGUUUGCAUUACGCAUGUCUUGGGGCACUGUCCCUUCCUCCCAGCACUGUAAAAGGAGUUCAUGGGUUAGUUGAGGAGAGCACUCUUCUUGCCAGCCUUAAUGACUUCUGGAGGUAAGCCAUCACUUCCAGGAACUUUACCACAAGCUAGAGAAUCAGUUGACUUAUUGAGUUCCUCAAAAGAGGGUGGAGCAUCAAGCACUUCCACAACUGGCAGCGGAUUUAUGUUCUCAAUCAUUGCAUCUGUAACUACAGUCUCUUUUGAGUAAAGUUCCCGAUAAUGCUCUGAACAUCUUUUCAACUGCUCACCACGAUCAGUUAUGAUGUCGCCCGAAAUUGACUUUAGGGGUGAUACCUUAAUGAUGCUUGGACCAAAAGCCUUCUUAAUUCCCUCAUACAUUGUGUGGAUGUUGCCACAGUCAGCAGAGAGUUGAAUGCUCUCGCAGAUGUUCAGUCAGAAAUCAUUAGCACAUUUACGAGCAAUCCAUUUGGUGUCAUUUCUAUCCUUCCUAAAUGCUGCAAGAGCUUUCACUGAAGCCUCUUUCUUAUAAUUAAGCAGCACUGCUCAUUUUGCUCUGAUAGCCAGAUCGAGAACAGUAAACCCCGCCUGGAACCAGUCUUGGCUCUUUCUUUCCCUCUUUCCAAAGAUGACUUCAUGAAUAUGCUUCCAGCUUUCUUCGACAUUGCUAGCUGGACAGUCUUUAAGGGCUUCUUCAAUAGCAUUGACAAAAUCCUCACAAUGAGCAUGAACUGAUGUCAGAGCUGUAUUAUAUGCAGGCGUCCCCUCUGCUUCGAGCUGUAGAUUUGCUUUGGCUGAAUGCAGACUUUGCUGCCAGCCAAGGAGUGAUCGGUGUCACAGUCAGCACUAUGAUAGCUACGAGUCAUGAGGACACUGUUCAAUGAGGACCUUUGAGUGAUAUUGAGGUCAAGCUGGUGCCAAUGUUUAGAUCUGGGAUGUCUCCAAGAUACCUUAUGCUGGGGCUUGGUAGAGAAAAAUAUGUUGGUUAUGCAUAGAUCGUAAUAUGAUCAUAGCUCUAACAGCCUCUGCCCAUUUUCAUUUAGGUUGCCAACACCAAAAUGGCCGAUAUUACAGGGCCAGGAUUCAUAAUUGGCUCCAACGCUGGCAUUGAAAUCUCAGAGCAUGUAUAGGCGUUCAGUUACAGGAUCCUCUCUGAUAGUGAUCUCAAGCUCCUCGUAAAACUGAUCCUUAGCCUUGGUUUCAGAGCAAGCUGUGGGAGUGUAAAUGCUCAAGAUGUUUACUGGACCUGUAAAGGUUUGGAGGCGAAGAGAGAGCAUUCUAGGUGUACCUUUGGAAGGGAACUCAACUGAUUUCAAUAAAGAGUUUUUUAUUGCAAAAACCAAUGCCGUGCAAUCUCUGCUCCUCUCUUUUUUGUUUUGUUUUUUCCUUUCCAGAAGACUGCAUAUUCCUGUUCUUUGAUGCUACCAACUGAUGAGAGUCUGGUCUCUUGCAAUGCAGCAAUGUUGAGCAUCUUAAAUUCACAAUCAGUGAUGGCUGUUUUCCUGCCAUCAUCAACCUGUACAAGGUCAACAUCCAGGCCUGUGCACAGUGUCCUGACAUUCCUACAUGCUAAUCGCAGGAUUGGUCUUUCUUUCUUUCUUCUUACUUUGUUUGGUGCCAGGUUUGCAGUCUGCUCUUCAGUAUUUGCCCUAAGCUCCAAGCACCCAUUGAAGCAGGCAGACUGUGGCGGGUCAGCACAUUAUUGACUGGGGACCAGUGGGACGACGAUGAUCUCUCCUACCAUCAGAUGCAGUCUGUAGCGCCCGAGUUUAUGCCAAUCACUCUAGGCUUAUAACUCAUAACUACCACCUCUCAUGUUUGUUCUGUUGCUGUUAGCAGUGGCACUGGAGUGACCUCGCCAGGGUGCAAGCCUGGGCAGAGUGCAAGAGACGCCUUCAGGGCCCCACUCCUGAUUUAUAAGGUUUACUCCUCUACACUUGGGCAUUGGUUCCACCAUGGAACUCCUCCGCCCUGGUAAGAGUACUGCACAAUGCAGUUCAUCCAGCUAGUGGUGCAGUGUACUCACCACCCCCUCACGUGAUUUCGCCUGCCAGCUGAAGUGGUGUACCAGGGUGUGGCACUUGGAGCCAACACAUGAGAGAUUUAGGGGAUAGAUGAGAACAGGUGGUGUCCGGCCACUCUACCAAGCAGAAUGCAGCUGCCGGACAAAAAAGGUGCUAUCUCUGUCCAGAGCCCCCUUCACCCCUUACUAUGUUUUAUAAUAUUGUUAAUACUACUGUUAUACAUAAUGACAACUCUGUCUUUUUUCAACAGUAAUAGUCUCUCUCUCUCCCUCUCUUUCUCUCUCUCUCUCUCUCUCUCUCUCUCUGUCUCUCUCUCACACACACACACACACGUUUGUUUCUGUGAAUUGUGGAGACUUUUCAUAGACUUCUGUUACUUUUAUACUGACCAAAUGAUAUUUUCUAACCCACAACUCUAAACCUACCACUUACAGAAAACCUGUUUGCUUUGUUACAUUUUCAGAUAAACAUCAUUUACUAUUUUUAAUAUUCCACAGGCAAGUCCCCGCAAUGUAAAAAUAAUAAUAAUAAUAAUAAUAAAAAUAAGGUUUUACUAUCAUCGUGGGGACAUUUGGUCCCCACAAUGUAGCAUAAACAAGUACUAACACACACACACACACACACACACACACACACACACACACACACACACACACACACAUUGGGUUUCCAUGUCUUAUUGGGAUGUUCCAUAGAUGUAAUGGUUUAAAUACUGUACAAAUACCCUAACCCUACUCCUCACACGUGUUUUUUUUUUUUUUGCCAUUCUGUUAUUA
ensembl:lncRNA